UCCUCCAUAUUUUUUGGCCCAGAACAAUCUCAAACAAGGUCUAUUGACACAGUGCAGCCAAGAGGCUAUGAGCACCAUCAUUGCCAGGAGGCGCUGGAGAUGAAUUGGCCAUGUGCUUCGAAUGGAAACUGACUCCAUCACCAGAAUAGCAAUAAGAUGGACACCUGAAAGAAUAGCUGGGUCAUCAGGCAGAAAGCAAAAUUGCUUGUGUGCACACACAUAAAAGGAACAGUCAAGGGGAUACAGAGCCAGGGAACAAAGUCAGAAGAGAAAGCUAUCAAAGUGAGUGGCUUGGGGAAACUCACCUGCAAUGUUUGAUGUGGCUUGUUGAACAUCAGUUGUUCCCUUUUGAGGCAGCAGGAAGAAAGCAAAGGAGAGCUGUGACUGACACAGUCUGCAACCUGACACCGGUAGAAUGCACAGGUACAGGCCUCAACAGCUGGCUUUUUAGCCCCAGUUCAGUUUCCCAUCUGGUCAAAAGCUGCCACAUAAAGCUCAACAUGAAAGGCUGUUUGAAAACUUAAAUUAACAGGCUUUAUUUCUGACUCAAAGCAAUGGAGGCCCUGAAAAAAAAUCUGAGCAGAGCAAGAGGUGAGAUAAUAGCACAAAGAGAACCUCAAAGCUGAAGAAUUCCAUCUCAGAAUGUGUGCCAUUAAGGAAGGUGCAAGAAAUCCCCGCAAACAAAACAGGGUAUUCUGACAUGAUUGAGGUUGUUACCAUUAACUGGACUAUGCACCAGGCAGAAAAGUCUGCUCUAAAAAGAAACAACAUAGCUACUGGUGACACCUGCUAUCGAAAACAGUGGCCCCAUUUUAACUGCGCAUGGGCUGUUUUCAAAACUAACCACACAUACUGUUUGUUUCUUUGGCUCCUUAUACUUUUUUGGCUAAUGCCAUAACUAAUAAAUGCUUAAUAAUGCCUAUUUACCUACUCCACGGGGUUAUAAGGUUUAAGGCCCUGAUUCUGCAAACGUGUGUUUAUUUACUAAGUGAAAAUAAAGUGAAGCACAUGUA